rnacentral:rRNA from 1 species
AGUGAACGCUGGCGGUAGGUCUAACACAUGCAAGUCGAACGGCAGCACAGUAAGAGCUUGCUCUUACGGGUGGCGAGUGGCGGACGGGUGAGGAAUACAUCGGAAUCUACUUUUUCGUGGGGGAUAACGUAGGGAAACUUACGCUAAUACCGCAUACGACCUACGGGUGAAAGCAGGGGAUCUUCGGACCUUGCGCGAUUGAAUGAGCCGAUGUCGGAUUAGCUAGUUGGCGGGGUAAAGGCCCACCAAGGCGACGAUCCGUAGCUGGUCUGAGAGGAUGAUCAGCCACACUGGAACUGAGACACGGUCCAGACUCCUACGGGAGGCAGCAGUGGGGAAUAUUGGACAAUGGGCGCAAGCCUGAUCCAGCCAGACCGCGUGGGUGAAGAAGGCCUUCGGGUUGUAAAGCCCUUUUGUUGGGAAAGAAAAGCAGCAGGUUAAUACCCCGCUGUUCUGACGGUACCCAAAGAAUAAGCACCGGCUAACUUCGUG